CAGAGAAUAGUUUAAGUAAAAUUUUAGUUUUGGAGACUAGUGAUAGGGGUAAUCUCUUUCUCUGA
rnacentral:tRNA from 1 species